UGACCCCCUCGCAACAGCUUGUGUGUCCUUGCAGCGCCGCGGGUGCCACCUGGUCUCCGCCUCAGCGCUGCCUCGGCUCCUUCGGUUCCCACCAGCGGGAACGACCGUCCCCACUUUCAGCUUAAACUCAUCUGUCCUUCUGGAUCCAGCUCAGAGGUCUCUUUGUGAUGCCCUCCUGGAACUUCCCCCCUAGUAAUCCUUCCUUUGUAUUCCCGUGGCUCUUUGAUAAUAAUGGUUGGAGUCCUGAACCCGACCCUUUGUAUCGGACCGUGUUUGUCAUCUCCAGUGCUUUAUGAAGGCCUUGAAAGCAAGGUUCAGCCGUCUGUAUUGGUCAUCUUCCCAUUGCCAGUGCCUACGAAGGGCUUGACCCAUUCAUUGUUAGACGCUCAGUAAGUGUGUAUUGAGGCAGCCCUCUGUGCCACUCCAGGGCUCUUUCCACUAAAUCAUGAGUAUGUUGGUUUACCAGAUGGAAUGAGUAGCCUCUUCUUUGGAUACAUAAACACCCGAUGGAUAUUGUGGGUCACUGUGGAGGGAGAAUGAACGUAUGGGAUCCCUGACCUGUGGUUACUGGAAAACAGUUGACAUUUAGAGAGAGGCUGAAUUCUUGGGCUUCCCGUAGCCCCCAUCCUGAGUGUGCCAACAGGGACUAGAAGCAUCUCUAGUCUGCAAAGCGAGGAACAAGUGAUACUCUGUCCAAUUUUUCCAAUAUUGUUAUACUCAUGAAUAGAGAUUAAUGAAAUUGAAGAGCAUAUUCAAGAGAAAGACUAAAGGAGAAGUCGUCUGCCCCGUGGACAGGCAGCUUGAGUGGUGCUUGAGAAAAUGUACAUGAAAUUGCUUGUUAAAAAAUAUUCACGCCUGUAAUCCCAGCUCUUUUGGGAGGCCGAGGCGGGCAGAUUACUAGGUCAGGAGAUCGAGACCAUCCUGGCUAACACGGUGAAACCCCGUCCCUACUAAAAAUACAAAAACAAAAUUAGCCGGGCGUGGCGGCGGGCGCCUGUGGUCCCAGCCUCCCAAGUAGCUGGGAUUACGGCAUGUGCCACCACACCCUGCUAAUUUUGUAUUUUUAGUAGAGACGAGGUUUCACCAUGUUGGUCAGGCUGGUCUUGGACUCCUGACCUCAAGUGAUCCACCGCCUCGGCCUCCCAAAGUGCUGGAUUACAGGCAUGAGCCACCGCACCCAGCCGUCUUUUUUUUCCCAUCAGGGUGGAGAUUUUGACAUCUGGAACAGUACACAGCACAUUUAGAUGCUCAAUACUUGUGGAGUAAAUAAAUGAAUGACUC
rnacentral:lncRNA from 10 species